rnacentral:rRNA from 1 species
UACGGAGGGCGCAAGCGUUGUCCGGAAUUAUUGGGCGUAAAGAGCUCGUAGGUGGCGUGUCGCGUCUGCCGUGAAAGCCCAUGGCUUAACUGGGGGUCUGCGGUGGAUACGGGCAGGCUGGAGGCUGGUAGGGGCAAGCGGAAUUCCUGGUGUAGCGGUGAAAUGCGCAGAUAUCAGGAGGAACACCGGUGGCGAAGGCGGGUCUCUGGGCCGAUACUGACGCUGAGGAGCGAAAGCGUGGGGAGCGAACAGG